UGGUUGGCUGUGGCUCGCUGCUGCUGCUGUAGCUGGCGGCGGCGUGGAGUGGAGUACGGCCGUUACAAUAACAAACUCUAAUUGAAACACCCACAAAAACAAACUUACAAUUUACAUUUUACGUCACACUUCUUCAAUGGCAGUGGCAGGUAGUUGUUGUUAUUAUUGUUUUUGGCAAUUACAAACGAUAACACGAAUCAUAAACAAAAAAAAA